rnacentral:rRNA from 1 species
GAACGCUGGCGGCAUGGAUUAGGCAUGCAAGUCGAGCGAGAAAUCCUUCUUCGGAAGGAGAGUACAGCGGCGAAAGGGUGAGUAACACGUGAGCAACCUGCCUUCGGGACGGGCAUAGCCCCGGGAAACCGGGAUUAAUACCCGAUAUGAUGCUGACGCGCAUGCGUCGGCCAUCAAAGGCUUCGGUCACCUGAAGAUGGGCUCGCGUCCCAUUAGCUUGUUGGCGGGGUAACGGCCCACCAAGGCAAAGACGGGUAGCUGGUCUGAGAGGAUGGUCAGCCACACUGGGACUGAGACACUGCCCAGACUCCUACGGGAGGCUGCAGUCGAGAAUCUUCCGCAAUGGGCGCAAGCCUGACGGAGCGAUGCCGCGUGGGGGAUGAAGGCUUUCGGGUCGUAAACCCCUGUCAGGAGGGACGAAGAAGUGACGGUACCUCCAGAGGAAGCCACGGCUAACUACGUGCCAGCAGCCGCGGUAAUACGUAGGUGGCGAGCGUUAUUCGGAUUUACUGGGCGUAAAGGGUCCGCAGGGGGCCUGUCAAGUCUGAUGUGAAAGCCCGCGGCUCAACCGCGGAACUGCAUUGGAUACUGGCGGGCUUGAGUGCACGAUGGGAGAGCGGAAUUCCUGGUGUAGCGGUGGAAUGCGCAGAUGUCAGGAAGAACACCGAUGGCGAAGGCGGCUCUCUGGCGUGACACUGACCCUCAUGGACGAAAGCGUGGGUAGCGAACAGGAUUAGAUACCCUGGUAGUCCACGCUGUAAACGGUGCGCACUCGAUAUGGGCGGAUUGGUCCCGUCCGUGUCCAAGCCAACGCGUUAAGUGCGCCGCCUGGGGACUACGGCCGCAAGGCUAAAACUCAAAGGAAUUGACGGGGGCCCGCACAAGCGGUGGAGCAUGUGGCCUAAUUCGAGGCAACGCGAAGAACCUUACCUGGGUUUGACAUAUGCAGGCCCGCCCGUGAAAUCGGGUUUUCCCUUCGGGGACCUGCAUACAGGUGCUGCAUGGCUGUCGUCAGCUCGUGCCGUGAGGUGUUCGGUUAAGUCCGGCAACGAGCGCAACCCGUAUCGUCAGUUGCCACCAGGUAAUGCUGGGCACUCUGGCGAGACUGCCCGUGUCAAGCGGGAGGAAGGAGCGGAUGACGUCAAGUCCGUAUGGCCCUUACACCCAGGGCUGCACACGUGCUACAAUGGGCGGUACAGUGAGACGCCACGUCGCGAGGCGGAGCAAAUCUCCAAAACCGCCCCCAGUUCGGAUCGGAGUCUGCAAUUCGACUUCGUGAAGUCGGAAUCGCUAGUAAAGGCGUAUCAGCAAUGGCGCCUUGAAUACGUUCCCGGGCCUUGUACACACCGCCCGUCACAUCAUGGAAGCCGGCUGCACCCGAAGUC